GAGACAUACAAUCAACACUCCACUCAGACAAUGCCCAGACCUCCAGAAAUCAUGUGUCAAGCUUGGAUUGCCUUAGACAGGUGCAAUUUUAAAACAGCUUUCGUCCUCUUUUCUCUCAUAUUGUCACACUAUCGGUUCUGACUUCUGGCUCCUUUCCUCACAAGAAGCUCACCCAGCUGGAACUCUUAUGGGACCUUGGCACCAGAGACCACCAAUUCCUCUUUGAAGUUUUCUAACAGCAUCAUUGGUAUUUCUGACUUGGCUUUAUUGUAUUUCUCUCACGUUAACAAAACUGGUUGAGCAUCUACCACGGGCUACAUGCUGAGCUACAGGUGCUGUUGAUGAAACUGCCAAAGGAGCUGAAUAUGACUGACAUCUUUGGAAGGAUGAGACUUAGCAUGCCCGUACAGUUGUGUCCAAAUGCUGUCCUUAUCUCCCAAUGGAAAGCCUCACAACAAUUUCCAGCAUUGCCAGCAGCAUUCAGUACAUUCAGAACAGGAUCAUUUCACCCGCAGCUGAACUAGCGCCAUGCCUGGGACAGACAGAGAAUGGCCUUCCAGCAGACAUGCCAAGGAGCAAGCCAGGGUCAGUGAGUGAAGAGGAGGGCAGGCCCAUUUGAAACAACACAGUUUAUAAUAGAUCAGAAUCCCUAAUGAUGGAGCAUCUACUAUUCCUCUAGUGGUCCAUGCCCAACAGAUUCAUCCAAGAAUGCCUGAAGAUCUGUGUAAUGUUGAGCAACUAAUCUAAUCACCCCACAGAAGAGUUGUGACUUGAAUUAUCCCAGAGUCGGCCCACCUGUUUUCAUAAAGAUCAGUGUAACUUGAAAAUGCAGCCCUCGCACCGGGGACGAUGCAGAUCAACAGAGCAUGCGCCAGGUGACGUCAAUCCAAAGCGCUCCAAACUCACCCGGCCACGCCUAUGGAGACGCCCCUAUCACGCCCUUAUCCCGCCCACUGCCCUCCCCCUUCCAGUACCAAUGCAUAAAAAUCCGCUGCCGGCAGGAGCCGCUGUGACUUCUUUGCCCCCGCAUUCUGGACCAGGGAACCUAACCAGGGCGCCAGCGCGACUUCCCUGGACCCCCCCCACACCUGAGGACCAGAGAACCUCGCCCCAGAGUGUGUGCAUAUUUGCAAUAAAGGGCUCCCGCUUUCUUAUGUA